UACAGAGGUCCCAAGCGUUGUUCGGAUUCACUGGGCGUAAAGGGUGCGUAGGUGGUUAGGUAAGUUCGGUGUGAAAUCUCCUGGCUCAACUGGGAGGGUGCGCCAGAAACUGGAGUGCUUGAGCGUGGGAGAGGAAAGCGGAAUUCCUGGUGUAGCGGUGAAAUGCGUAGAUAUCAGGAGGAACACCUGUUGUGUAGACGGCUUUCUGGACCAUAGCUGACGCUGAGACACGAAAGCGUGGGUAGCAAACAGG
rnacentral:rRNA from 1 species